AUACUGAGUGGCAAACGGGUGAGUAUAAUGUGGGAAUCUGCCUUUUGGUUCGGAAUAACACGAGGAAACUUGUGCUAAUACCGGAUAAGCCCUUACGGGGAAAGUUUUAAUGCCAAAAGAUGAGCCCGCACUUGAUUAGCUAGUUGGUAAGGUAAUGGCUUACCAAGGCAACGAUCAAUAGCUGUUCUUAGAGGAAGACCAGCCACAUUGGGACUGAGACACGGCCCAAACUCCUACGGGAGGCAGCAGUGGGGAAUCUUGCACAAUGGGGGAAACCCUGAUGCAGCGAUGCCGCGUGAGUGAAGAAGGCCCUUGGGUUGUAAAACUCUUUCGUCGGGGAAGAAAAUGACUGUACCCGAAUAAGAAGGUCCGGCUAACUUCGUGCCAGCAGCCGCGGUAAUACGAAGGGACCUAGCGUAGUUCGGAAUUACUGGGCUUAAAGAGUUCGUAGGUGGUUAAAAAAGUUGAUGGUGAAAUCCCAAGGCUCAACCUUGGAACUGCCAUCAAAACUUUUUAGCUAGAGUGUGAUAGAGGAAAGUGGAAUUUCUAGUGUAGAGGUGAAAUUCGUAGAUAUUAGAAAGAACAUCAAAAGCGAAGGCAACUUUCUGGAUCAUUACUGACACUGAGGAACGAAAGCAUGGGUAGCGAAGAGGAUUAGAUACCCUCGUAGUCCAUGCCGUAAACGAUGUGUGCUAGACGUUGGAAACUUAGUUUUCAGUGUCGCAGCGAAAGCAUUAAGCACACCGCCUGGGGAGUACGACCGCAAGGUUAAAACUCAAAUGAAUUGACGGGGACCCGCACAAGUAGUGGAG
rnacentral:rRNA from 1 species